rnacentral:rRNA from 1 species
AGCAGCCGCGGUAAUUCCAGCUCCAAUAGCGUAUAUUAAAGUUGUUGCAGUUAAAAAGCUCGUAGUUGAAUUUCGGGAUUAGUACGUUGGUCGUGCCUUAGGUACGUACUGGUGUUACUGGUUCCUACCUUCUGACGAACCAUCAUGUCAUUAAUUUGGUGUGGCGGGGAAUCAGGACUGUUACUUUGAAAAAAUUAGAGUGUUUAAAGCAGGCUCGCGCUUGAAUACAUUAGCAUGGAAUAAUGAAAUAGGACGUUGACCCUAUUUUGUUGGUUUCUAGGAUUGACGUAAUGAUUAAUAGGGAUAGUUGGGGGCAUUAGUAUUCAAUUGUCAGAGGUGAAAUUCUUGGAUUUAUUGAAGACUAACUACUGCGAAAGCAUUUGCCAAGGAUGUUUUCAUUAAUCAAGAACGAAAGUUAGGGGAUCGAAGACGAUCAGAUACCGUCGUAGUCUUAACCAUAAACUAUGCCGACUAGGGAUCGGAUGAUGUUAAUUUUAAUUAGACUCUAUCGGUCGCCGUA